GGGCGUAUAGCUCAACGGCAGAGCAGGCGUCUUAUACACGCCCGGUUCUAGGUUCGAAUCCUAGUGCGCCCA
rnacentral:tRNA from 2 species